AAGACUAUAGACCUGCGGAGUACCUGCGGAAGGAUCAUUACAUGGCGGAGGAGGUGGGCACCUAGUAAAAACAAAACCCUAGGUGUGUUGCCUACCACGCUUUCUACCCUUGUCUAUUUGCACCUUUUGUCGUUCCCUCGGUGGGUCUUGAACCUGCCGGCGGCAACUUUCAAAAACCUUUUGUAGUUAGUAUCUGAUUCUUCUGAUCAAAUAUUCAAUCGUUACAACUUUUAACAACGG
rnacentral:misc_RNA from 1 species